AGUGAACGCUGGCGGCAGGCCUAACACAUGCAAGUCGAACGGCAGCACAGUGGAGCUUGCUCCAUGGGUGGCGAGUGGCGGACGGGUGAGGAAUACAUCGGAAUCUGCCCAGUCGGGGGGGAUAACAUAGGGAAACUUAUGCUAAUACCGCAUACGACCUACGGGUGAAAGCGGGGGAUCGCAAGACCUCGCGCGAUUGGAUGAGCCGAUGUCCGAUUAGCUAGUUGGCGGGGUAAUGGCCCACAAAGGCGACGAUCGGUAGCUGGUCUGAGAGGAUGAUCAGCCACACUGGAACUGAGACACGGUCCAGACUCCUACGGGAGGCAGCAGUGGGGAAUAUUGGACAAUGGGCGCAAGCCUGAUCCAGCCAUGCCGCGUGGGUGAAGAAGGCCUUCGGGUUGUAAAGCCCUUUUGUCCGGAAAGAAAAGCCUCGGAUUAAUACCCUGGGGUGAUGACGGUACCGGAAGAAUAAGCACCGGCUAACUUCGUGCCAGCCGCCGCCGUAAUAC
rnacentral:rRNA from 1 species